UAGCUUUUUGAUUUUAUAAAAAGUGAAUUCUGCCCAGUGAUAUUCAUUUAACGGCCGCAGUACACUGACUGUGCUAAGGUAGCAUAAUAAAUUGGCUUUUAAUUGGAGUCGGGUAUGAAAGGAACUAUGAAGAUAAACUGUCUCAAUAAUAGGAAGAUAUAAGUUAAUCAAAAGGUGAAAAUACCUUUAAAUUUAUGUUAGACGAAAAGACCCUAAGAAUUAUAAUUAAUAUAAAUGAUAUUAUUUACAUAUUUUUGUUGGGGCAACAAAUUCAGAAAAUAAAUAACUGAUUAAUUAUUUUAAUAAAUACAGGACAAAUAUUAUUAAUUAUGAAUUUAAUUACCUUAGGGAUAACAGCAUAAUGUUUUUAAAAGAUUGUGACCUCGAUGUUGGACUAGGGUACUAUAAUAGUAAGCCAUUAUUAUAGAUAGUUCUGUUCGAACUUUUUGACCCU
rnacentral:rRNA from 1 species